AAACUUUCAACAACGGAUCUCUUGGCUCUCGCACCGAUGAAGAGCGCAGCGAAAUGCGAUAACUAAUGUGAAUUGCAGGCAUCGUGAAUCAUCGAGUUCUUGAACGCACAUUGCGCCCUGUGGUAUUCUGCAGGGCAUGCCUGUUUGAGCGUCGGU
rnacentral:rRNA from 3 species